rnacentral:snoRNA from 1 species
AAGACCAUAAUUUCAGGGAUCAUUUCUAUAGUUUAUUACUGGAGAAGUUUCUUUGAACGUAUAGAGUACUAAAAACCACGUUAUCUCCUGACUGUAAAGCUGCCUCUUGGUAUUGCUUUACUUCAAUUGCCAUUUGCCACUAAUGAUUGUUCUUCUUUUCUUUUGGGAGAGUAAGGGGGAGAGGACACAGUCUGGGUGGG